rnacentral:lncRNA from 1 species
AAAAGGAUGCGCCAAUGCAUAGGUGCCAAGUGUCAAACAAGUACAGCAGCACGGCUAUACUAUUUCUUAUUAAAAAAACAGAAAAGCCGAGUAUAGCCACGCGGCUAUACUAUUUGUUUCAGAAAAUUAAAAAAAGGAUAUAGUACAGCCGGCUGGCUAUACUAUUCCCAGCGCCUGUGCCCCACGUGUCAAACCAGUACAGCCGACCGGCUAUACUAUUUUAAUAUGUAUAUUAUUUUUAUUCAACAAUACGUGAGUAUUAUGUGUAUAAUACUUGAAUUUU